rnacentral:rRNA from 1 species
UACGUAGGGGGCAAGCGUUGUCCGGAUUCAUUGGGCGUAAGGAGCGUGUAGGCGGCCAGGUAGGUCGGUUGUGAAAACUCGAGGCUCAACCUCGAGAUGUCGAUGGAAACCGUCUGGCUAGAGUCCGGAAGAGGAGUGUGGAAUUCCUGGUGUAGCGGUGAAAUGCGCAGAUAUCAGGAAGAACACCUAUGGCGAAGGCAGCUCGCUGGGACGUGACUGACGCUGAGGCGCGAAAGCGUGGGGAGCAAACAGG